CCUACGGGCGGCAGCAGUGAGGAAUAUUGGUCAAUGGACGCAAGCCUGAACCAGCCAAGCCGCGUGCAGGAAGACGGCUCUAUGAGUUGUAAACCGCUUUUGUACGAGGGUAAAGGCAGAUACGCGUAUCGGUCUGAAAGGAUCGUACGAAUAAGGAUCGGCUAACUCCGUGCCAGGAGCCGCGGUAAUACGGAGGAUUGAAGCGUUAGCCGGAUUUAUUGGGUUUAAAGGGUGCGUAGGCGGUCGGAUAAGGUAGAGGUGAAAUCCCGUGGCUCAACUUCGGAAUUGCCUCUGAUACUGUUCUGCUAGAGUGUAGUUGCGGUAGGCGGAAUGUCUGGUGUAGCGGU
rnacentral:rRNA from 1 species